rnacentral:piRNA from 1 species
UGAUGUUGUGCUAACCCUGAACGGCAGUU